GGAGGGAUGGCUGAGCGGUUGAAAGCGGCGGUCUUGAAAACCGUUAGUCCGGUAGUCCCGGGCUCUGGGGUUCGAAUCCCCAUCCCUCCGCCA
rnacentral:tRNA from 1 species